GGGGGCGAACGGAUUCGACGGGAACCGGGGUCCCCGGGGAGCAGGCCGGGUGGCACCCGUAACAGCUGUUAAAACACUUCCCGAAGCUGAGCUCGCCCUCGCUGCCUAAUUAAACAGGCAGCGCGUCCCCGGUGGGUGGCGGGUGGCUCACCGGCGGGCGUCAGAGGACACCCGCUCGGGUACCCCGGGCGCACGGGGACGGGGUGCCGACACGGAACUCCGUGCUUUCCUCCGGUAGCCUGCCCGUGGGCGACCCGGAGGGAGACCUGAAACACGGGCUAAGCCUGUAGGAGCCCCGGAUGUGGCUCCGGUUCUCGGACGCGGGUUCGAUUCCCGCCGCCUCCACCA
rnacentral:tmRNA from 1 species